CUUGCCCGCUCCUGCGCUCCGGCCGCCGCCGCUCCCGCCGCGCCGCCCGCGCCUCAGCGCCACCGCGGGCAGCCCACGGCCCGGCGCUGGGGGGCAGGCGGCUGGCGGGGCCGGGGGCCCGCGGGCACCUCCGGGGCCGGCGCCGCCGCCGCUCCUCAGGGCUCCCGCCCCGCGCGCCGCCGACCCGGCAGGGCUCCGGCUCGGCCGCCGCCGCUCGGUGCCCGAGGAUGCCCGCGCCUCUGCCGCGUCCCCGCUCGUCUCCGCGCAGCGCGGGGACGGCUCCGCUUCAUAUUUCCCCUUCCAGCAGGAGGAGGAGGAGUGGUCGGGAGGCACAGAGAAGAGGAAUUAUUUGUGGAAUGCAGCAUCAGCCAAGUCUCAACACACACUCUGGAAAGAAUUGGCGUAGGCUCACCUGGUUUUGCGUGCAGAGGAGUCUUGAAGUGUAGGAGUUUGGACUGGUUUUUCUUUUUCUUUCUCUUCAUUAUUACUACAAAAAAACAGAUGCAAAUCUCCCAUUGCCUGCUUGCUUUUCACAUUUCUCAAAGUCAGAAUAGCUGUAGCUUUCAGUAGGACUUACCUUGUUGCAAACA
rnacentral:lncRNA from 13 species